rnacentral:rRNA from 1 species
UGGGGAAUUUUGGACAAUGGGCGAAAGCCUGAUCCAGCAAUGCCGCGUGUGUGAAGAAGGCCUUCGGGUUGUAAAGCACUUUUGUCCGGAAAGAAAUCCUUGGCUCUAAUACAGUCGGGGGAUGACGGUACCGGAAGAAUAAGCACCGGCUAACUACGUGCCAGCAGCCGCGGUAAUACGUAGGGUGCAAGCGUUAAUCGGAAUUACUGGGCAUAAAGCGUGCGCAGGCGGUUUGCUAAGACCGAUGUGAAAUCCCCGGGCUCAACCUGGGAACUGCAUUGGUGACUGGCAGGCUAGAGUAUGGCAGAGGGGGGUAGAAUUCCACGUGUAGCAGUGAAAUGCGUAGAGAUGUGGAGGAAUACCGAUGGCGAAGGCAGCCCCCUGGGCCAAUACUGACGCUCAUGCACGAAAGCGUGGGGGAGCAAACAGGAUUAGAUACCCUGGUAGUCCACGCCCUAAACGAUGUCAACUAGUUGUUGGGGAUUCAUUUCCUAGUAACGUAGCUAACGCGUGAAGUUGACCGCCUGGGGAGUACGGUCGCAAGAUUAAAACUCAAAGGAAUUGACGGGGUCAUAGCUGUUUCCU